GUCGUCCGCUACAUCGGUGGCUUUGUGGUUAGGGCAACCAGCAAGCAUCUUCACUGUGCGGAAUGCGCAGCAAUGCUCACCAAUGACACUGUGACUAGCUUGCUAACAUACAUAAAGGACAAUGGUGGUCUUACAGAACCAUCACGCUUUGUGCAUGCAGCAAUGUGUGCAGCAGAGACAGUGCUACGCCAAGGCAACACGACAGGAGACAACAUCCACAAGAUAACUCUUAGGGCCUUCCAACAAUUCGUUAAGCAAUAUGAAGUCAUGCUUCACAAUUGUACACACUACUCUGAAGACCCGCAGCAUGUGAUAAGCCUCACAAAAGUGCUGCAGAAAAAGUAUGUCACUCUCCGAAUGAAAGAAAUUGGUAGACGCCGCACUGAGCAGGAGCGCGGUCAUCAGGCACGUGCUCACAAAGCGUGUGCUAUUUGCUCACCAGUGAUUGACCUAGCAAGUCACCUUGAGUAGAAAGAUUCUACAUUUCACACAAAAAAAUCAUACAAUCUUUUUGUGACAAGACAGCUCCAGCAAAGACAGCAAGAGCUGCAGUUUUCCUGUUGUUCUGAUACUGAACUUUUGUGACGAGACAGCUCAUGCAAAGACAGCAAGAGUUGUUGCUGAUGUGUAGGUACGAUACCCGGCUUCUGUGAUGACACAGCUUCUGCGAAGACUGCAACAGAUGACUCUCUUGUGUAGUUACAGGGUCUGCAAGUGUUGUGACGAGACAGCUCGUGCAAAGACAGCAAGAGUUGUUGCUGUUGUGUAGGUACGAUACCUGGCUUCUGUGAUGACACAGCUUCUGCGAAGACUGCAACAGAUGACUCUUGUGUAGUUACAGGGUCUGCAAGUGUUGUGACGAGACAGCUCGUGCAAAGACAGCAAGAGUUGUUGCUGUUGUGUAGGUACGAUACCCGGCUUCUGUGAUGACACAGCUUCGGCGAAGACUGCAACAGAUGACUCUCUUGUGUAGUUACAGGGUCUGCAAGUGUUGUGACGAGACAGCUCGUGCAAAGACAGCAAGAGUUGUUGCUGUUGUGUAGGUACGAUACCCGGCUUCUGUGAUGACACAGCUUCUGCGAAGACAGCAAGAUUUGUUGCUUUUGUGUAGUUACAUGAUCUAUGACUUUUGUGAUGGGGCAUCUCUUGCAGAGAUUGCAACGGCCUUCACAUUUAGGCAGUUAUCAUACCAGGCUUCUGUGAUGAGGCAACUCCUGCAAAGACUGCAGAAGAGUUGUCACUUUUGUGUAGUUGCAUGACACUAACGUCAUGCAGUUGACCCAGUGGCUGCAGCAUGCGGCGAUUACAAAAAUUAUGGGGGGAGGGGCAAGAGAUGUUGAGCCCCACCACUCUCGCCUCCUCGUGGUUCCCCCUGGGAAACGCUGGGGCUUUGGCAAUGCCUUAACCCCAGUAGGCUAAAGAGAGUGGAGAGCAAUAGUUAAAUAGAUACUAGAGCCUUUAUGUUGUUGGGAUGCCACAUGGUGCAGGCAAGUACAAUUUCCAUGUAUAGAAAAUUUUAUAAUGCGAGAAAAAUGGUUUGUGCAAUAUACGCACUGUUCUAGAUGAAAAAAAGCGAAGUAUGAGGUUAUAUGGAUGAGGAGCUGCUUUAAGCAUUCUUGCAUGGCAAAGAAUUUUGAAUAAGUUACCACAUGAAUCUCAUGUAGUCCCAUUUACGGACACUGAACCGAGGCAGUCUAGCUGCUAGAGCCCCACAGCAAAUUUAAUAAAAGCAAAAGUAAUUAUACAUUA